UACGUAGGGUGCAAGCGUUAAUCGGAAUUACUGGGCGUAAAGCGUGCGCAGGCGGUUGUGCAAGACAGAUGUGAAAUCCCCGGGCUUAACCUGGGAACUGCAUUUGUGACUGCACGGCUAGAGUGUGUCAGAGGGGGGUAGAAUUCCACGUGUAGCAGUGAAAUGCGUAGAUAUGUGGAGGAAUACCGGUGGCGAAGGCGGCAUCCUGGACCGACAUUGACGCUGAGGAGCGAAAGCCAGGGGAGCAAACGGG
rnacentral:rRNA from 1 species